rnacentral:rRNA from 1 species
GACGAACGCUGGCGGCGUGCUUAACACAUGCAAGUCGAACGGAAAGACCCUGCUUUUGUGGGGUGCUCGAGUGGCGAACGGGUGAGUAACACGUGAGUAACCUGCCCUUGACUUUGGGAUAACUUCAGGAAACUGGGGCUGAUACCGGAUAGGAGCUCCUGCUGCAUGGUGGGGGUUGGAAAGUUUCGGCGGUUGGGGAUGGACUCGCGGCUUAUCAGCUUGUUGGUGGGGUAGUGGCUUACCAAGGCUUUGACGGGUAGCCGGCCUGAGAGGGUGACCGGCCACAUUGGGACUGAGAUACGGCCCAGACUCCUACGGGAGGCAGCAGUGGGGAAUAUUGCACAAUGGGCGGAAGCCUGAUGCAGCAACGCCGCGUGCGGGAUGACGGCCUUCGGGUUGUAAACCGCUUUCGCCUGUGACGAAGCGUGAGUGACGGUAAUGGGUAAAGAAGCACCGGCUAACUACGUG